GAUGAACGCUGGCGGCAUGCCUUACACAUGCAAGUCGAACGGCAGCACGGGGCAACCUGGUGGCGAGUGGCGAACGGGUGAGUAAUGCAUCGGAACGUACCUUUCAGUGGGGGAUAAAGUAGCGAAAGUUACGCUAAUACCGCAUAUUCUGUGAGCAGGAAAGCAGGGGAUCGCAAGACCUUGCGCUGAUUGAGCGGCCGGUGUCAGAUUAGCUAGUUGGUGAGGUAAAGGCUCACCAAGGCGACGAUCUGUAGCGGGUCUGAGAGGAUGAUCCGCCACACUGGAACUGAGACACGGUCCAGACUCCUACGGGAGGCAGCAGUGGGGAAUUUUGGACAAUGGGGGCAACCCUGAUCCAGCCAUGCCGCGUGAGUGAAGAAGGCCUUCGGGUUGUAAAGCUCUUUCGGCCGGGAAGAAAUCGCACGGGCUAAUACCCUGUGUGGAUGACGGUACCGGAAUAAGAAGCACCGGCUAACUACGUGCCAGCCGCCGCUGUAA
rnacentral:rRNA from 1 species